UAUGUGCAAAAUUCGAAGAUU
rnacentral:piRNA from 1 species